rnacentral:rRNA from 1 species
AUUGAACGCUGGCGGCAGGCCUCACACAUGCAAGUCGAGCGGAGCGGCGGACGGGUGAGUAAUGCCUAGGAAUCUGCCUGGUAGUGGGGGAUUACGUCCGGAAACGGGCGCUAAUACCGCAUAAUACAAGAUGAGCCUAGGUCGGAUUAGCUAGUUGGUGGGGUAACGGCCUACCAUGGCGCGGAUCCGUAACUGGUCUGCGAAGAUGAUCAGCAACACUGCAACUGAGACACGGUCCAGACUCCUACGUGAGACGGCAGUGGAGAAUAUUGGACAAUGGGCGAAAGCCUGAUCCAGCCAUGCCGCGUGUGUGAAGAAGGUCUUCGGAUUGUAAAGCACUUACAGAUGGGAGGCGUUACCAACAGAAUAAGCACCGGCUAACUUCGUGCCAGCAGCCGCGGUAAUUC